rnacentral:rRNA from 1 species
GACGAACGCUGGCGGAAUGCUUUACACAUGCAAGUCGAACGGUAGAGGGGGCAACCCCUCGAGAGUGGCGAACGGGUGAGUAAUAUAUCGGAACGUGCCCAGUCGUGGGGGAUAACGUAGCGAAAGUUACGCUAAUACCGCAUACGAUCUACGGAUGAAAGCGGGGGACCGUAAGGCCUCGCGCGAUUGGAGCGGCCGAUGUCAGAUUAGGUAGUUGGUGGGGUAAAGGCUCACCAAGCCGACGAUCUGUAGCUGGUCUGAGAGGACGACCAGCCACACUGGGACUGAGACACGGCCCAGACUCCUACGGGAGGCAGCAGUGGGGAAUUUUGGACAAUGGGCGCAAGCCUGAUCCAGCCAUUCCGCGUGCAGGACGAAGGCCUUCGGGUUGUAAACUGCUUUUGUACGGAACGAAAAGGCUCUGGUUAAUACCUGGGGCUCAUGACGGUACCGUAAGAAUAAGCACCGGCUAACUACGUGCCAGCAGCCGCCGUAA